rnacentral:rRNA from 1 species
AACGAACGCUGGCGGCAGGCUUAACACAUGCAAGUCGAGCGCCCCGCAAGGGGAGCGGCAGACGGGUGAGUAACACGUGGGAAUCUGCCCAUCCCUACGGAACAACUCCGGGAAACUGGAGCUAAUACCGUAUACGCCCUUCGGGGGAAAGAUUUAUCGGGGAUGGAUGAGCCCGCGUCGGAUUAGCUAGUUGGUGGGGUAAAGGCCUACCAAGGCGACGAUCCGUAGCUGGUCUGAGAGGAUGAUCAGCCACACUGGGACUGAGACACGGCCCAGACUCCUACGGGAGGCAGUAGUGGGGAAUAUUGGACAAUGGGCGCAAGCCUGAUCCAGCCAUGCCGCGUGAGUGAUGAAGGCCUUAGGGUUGUAAAGCUCUUUCGCCAGGGACGAUAAUGACGGUACCUGGAUAAGAAGCCCCGGCUAACUUCGUGCCAGCAGCCGCAGUAAAAC